rnacentral:rRNA from 1 species
UACGUAGGGGGCAAGCGUUGUCCGGAUUUAUUGGGCGUAAAGAGCGUGUAGGCGGCCAGGUAGGUCUGCUGUGAAAGCCCGAGGCUCACCCUCGGAAGUGCAUUGGAAACUGGCAGACUGGAGUCCCGGAGAGGAGGGUGGAAUUCCUGGUGUAGCGGUGAAAUGCGUAGAUAUCAGGAGGAACACCGGUGGCGAAGGCGGCCCUCUGGACGGUGACUGACGCUGAGACGCGAAAGCGUGGGGAGCAACAGGAU